AGCUCAUGCUUAAAUGUGUUAUUGAGCAAGUGACUUCUUAAUACUGUGGCAGGAAUAAAACACUGUUAUAAAAUUAUAAAGGAAGUUUAGUUACAUGUAUAAACUCACAGUCACAAGUGUUAACACCUGGCGCCGUGACCUGGAUGCAGAUUCUAAGCAGAUGGGCCAAAAUGGGGGCAGCUAGAGAGACUCGCCUGGAACUGACAAGCCUGGAGGGAGCUGGUUGACUGUUGGCGAGAUGGGACAACAGACGAAGAAUAAACGAACCUACUUGAUUUGAUAAACAUUUUUAUGUUUUUCAGUUUCGUCGGAAGACAUUUCCCACCAACCAUCCUGUCUUGAAAGAAAUAACUUUUCAACCCGAUUAUCUGAUAUUUUCCAGUUUCCCCUCACAACAAUUUGCAUCAAACCUCUUGUCUGCUCCUCAGCUGAAAUCAUCAUCUAGCAGUCACAAUAGUUGAGCGGUUGGAGAGGCAUGCAUUGCGUCCUACUACUGCUCAGACUAUAUCAUGUUUGGCAGACAAAACAUGCUGAUCAAAAAGAAUGUGUACCACAGGGGCCAGUGUUUCCAUUUGAGUGAUUGACAAGAAGAAGAAGAGAUGAGAAAUUCUCUGGUUGCUUGAUGUGGCGACUGCAGAAGUGGCUCAGCAAAGCGUCUUCGUUGGAGCAAACAACCCUGCAUUCUGGACACCGAUUGUGCGCCUCCUUUAAAUAUAAAACUUUGUGAAACAUAAAAAUAUAUUUAACAUUUAUUUUUCAUCAUUUUAACCAAUAAAUACCUACUAAACAAGAACUUUGACAUUAACUUAGAUAAGAAAACAUAUAUAUUAUUUUCAAUUAAAUUGUUAAACAAGAGCUGUCUCCAUAGGAUGACGUAUGCCCCCAAUAAAUGCUUUGAUAGAAAUUAUGAGCAUUUUUCGAACCCUAAACGCGGACCCUAAGGUCAAGGUCAUGGGGUAAAAAUUUGUGUGGGUAUGGAAAGGCCUUGUCCAUAUACACAUGCAUAUCAAAUAUGAAUGUUACAUCUGAAGCGACAAAAGAAGUUAUGAGCAUUUUUCGAAACCUAAACACAAAGUGUGACGGACAGACAGACAUCAGACAAACAGACAGAAGGACAGUUCGAUCACUAUAUGCCCUCCUU